CAUCCUGUUUAUAUUUAUAAUUUUAGAUAUUUCUGUAAUAAGUGAUGAUUAUGUCAGUAAGAAAAAGGAAAGGUAUAGUGGCUAUGCUUAUGGGAUAGAUUAAAAUUGCCAUGAUCUGAAGAGGGAGGAUUUAUUUGUGUCCUCCUCCUAUAUGAAAUGGCUGAACAGAAAAAA
rnacentral:snoRNA from 1 species